GGCCUUGUUUGAUGCUAGACAGGUAGUGUCCCUCAGGGCUGUAGAACAGGGCUGGGAUUACUAAAGCCCUGUUCUAUGCCCUGAGGGACACUGAGCAUGUCAUUUCACUUCUCAGAGU
rnacentral:precursor_RNA from 1 species